rnacentral:rRNA from 1 species
GAUGAACGCUGGCGGCGUGCUUAACACAUGCAAGUCGAGCGAUGAAGUUUCCUUCGGGAAAUGGAGUAGCGGCGGACGGGUGAGUAACACGUGGGUAACCUGCCUCAUAGAGUGGAAUAGCCUUUCGAAAGGAAGAUUAAUACCGCAUAAUGUUGAAAGAUGGCAUCAUCAUUCAACCAAAGGAGCAAUCCGCUAUGAGAUGGACCCGCGGCGCACUAGCUAGUUGGUGGGGUAACGGCCUACCAAGGCGACGAUGCGUAGCCGACCUGAGAGGGUGAUCGGCCACAUUGGGACUGAGACACGGCCCAGACUCCUACGGGAGGCAGCAGUGGGGAAUAUUGCACAAUGGGGGAAACCCUGAUGCAGCAACGCCGCGUGAGUGAUGAAGGUUUUCGGAUCGUAAAGCUCUGUCUUUGGGGAAGAUAAUGACGGUACCCAAGGAGGAAGCCACGGCUAACUACGUGCCAGCCGCCGCCGUAAGAC